GAGGUGACCAGUGGUGGCGGUGGGGGGUGGGGCCGGUGAGGGAGCAGUGCUAGGCCGGCCAAGGUGGCUGCCAGUGU
rnacentral:miRNA from 1 species